CUCUAAUUGCGCUAUGCAAUAUAUCAGAGCCCCUCCCACCGUGCCACGCCCACCCGACACACACCUGCAACCACCCACACAUACAUAUACACGUAUGUACGUACAUUCAUCCAGCUGCUGCCGUUUUGCCGGUUUGCCAUUUGCUUACGCGUUAAAGCUGACAGGUAAAAUGGAUUUGUUACGGCAAUAGAACAGGUGGCUGGGUGGCCAGGGGAGCGGAUGGUGGGGAUUUCACGAGAGAUGGCUAGAAAAUGCAUGACAGAAUAUUUUGGGAAGAGCUUUACUAGAGUAUAUGGCCGGAGGAUGAGCCUUGAUUUUGGUAGCUUUGCUGUAUAUCAUAGAAAAGCAAUAGUUCGCUCGAUUUAAGUAAGUUAUAGUAGAGGAAGAGCUUCAUUGGAAGCAAAACUUAAGUAAGA